AUUGAACGCUGGCGGUAGGCUUAACACAUGCAAGUCGAACGGUAACAUAGCUAGCUUGCUAGCUGAUGACGAGUGGCGGACGGGUGAGUAACGCGUAGGAAUCUACCUAUUAGUGGGGGACAACAUGGUGAAAACCAUGCUAAUACCGCAUACGCCCUACGGGGGAAAGCGGGGGACCUUCGGACCUCGCGCUAAUAGAUGAGCCUGCGUUAGAUUAGCUAGUUGGUGGGGUAAUGGCUCACCAAGGCGACGAUCUAUAGCUGGUCUGAGAGGAUGAUCAGCCACACUGGGACUGAGACACGGCCCAG
rnacentral:rRNA from 1 species